ACAGCAGCAGCCACGGUAAUACAGAGGGUGCGAGCGUUAAUCGGAUUUACUGGGCGUAAAGCGUGCGUAGGCGGCUUUUUAAGUCGGAUGUGAAAUCCCUGAGCUUAACUUAGGAAUUGCAUUCGAUACUGGGAAGCUAGAGUAUGGGAGAGGAUGGUAGAAUUCCAGGUGUAGCGGUGAAAUGCGUAGAGAUCUGGAGGAAUACCGAUGGCGAAGGCAGCCAUCUGGCCUAAUACUAACGCUGAGGUACGAAAGCAUGGGGAGCAAACAGGAUUAGAUACCCGAGUAGUCCCUGUCUCUUAUAA
rnacentral:rRNA from 1 species